UACAGAGGUCCCGAGCGUUGUUCGGAUUCCCUGGGCGUAAAGGGUGCGCAGGUGGGCUGGUAAGUUCGAUGUGAAAGCCCCGGGCUUAACCCGGGAAAGGCAUUGGAUACUACUGGUCUGGAGGAUUGGAGGGGGGACUGGAAUUCUUGGUGUAGCAGUGAAAUGCGUAGAUAUCAAGAGGAACACCGAUGGCGAAGGCAGGGCUCUGGGCUGACACUGACGCUCAUGCACGAAAGCGUGGGGAGCAAACAGG
rnacentral:rRNA from 1 species